GACGAACGCUGGCGGCGUGCUUAACACAUGCAAGUCGAACGGAAAGGCCUCUUUCGGGGGGUACUCGAGUGGCGAACGGGUGAGUAACACGUGAGUAACCUGCCCUUGACUUUGGGAUAACUUCAGGAAACUGGGGCUAAUACCGGAUAGGAGCUCCUGCUGCAUGGUGGGGGUUGGAAAGUUUCGGCGGUUGGGGAUGGACUCGCGGCUUAUCAGCUUGUUGGUGGGGUAUUGGCUUACCAAGGCUUUGACGGGUAGCCGGCCUGAGAGGGUGACCGGCCACAUUGGGACUGAGAUACGGCCCAGACUCCUACGGGAGGCAGCAGUGGGGAAUAUUGCACAAUGGGUGGAAGCCUGAUGCAGCAACGCCGUGUGCGGGAUGACGGCCUUCGGGUUGUAAACCGCUUUCGCUCAUGACGAAGCUUUGUGUGACGGUAGUGGGUAAAGAAGCACCGGCUAACUACGUG
rnacentral:rRNA from 1 species